CCACAAUAACUAUAGGUUUGUGUGUCUCAAUCCAGGAAUAAGCAAGGACCAAAGACAGCUGCAGGCUGCAAUUGCAUGGGAAAGCAUUGCUGGAGGUCGCGAGGUUUGCAGCUCUUCUGUAGGAGCCAUCCCUCUCACCGCAAUCCCGAGCCCCUUCUGGGAAAACAGACAAUUUUGCCACGCAAAGUCCACCUGAACUAAUUCUGCACAGCACCAAAGCAUGCCUGGCAAUCCUUAUUUCAUGAGCUCCCUGUCUACUCUCUGAUGGGAACCAUUGCAUCGGAUUGGUCACUUUUUGUGCUAGCUGCUCUCCUGCUGAAAGAGCUUCAAAUCCACUUGGAGAUCAUCCCUGGGCUUGCUCCAGUGUGCAGCCCCAGGAGAUCUGCAGGAAGAAGUCUGAGUGUCCCAAACGCCCCAGGUGCAGGGAGCACAUCCCACUGCUUCCCCUCGGGCAGCCUCUGCAACGUCACCGAGGCAUCUACUCCACUGUCCCGUGCCUGCGACAUCCUAAAGUGAGUCCAAAAAUACAAGAGAGAGAACACCUAGGAGAAGCAUGUGAAUCCUCCUUGGUGUCCAUGGACCAAGAGUUGGGCAGGGCUGUUUCCUAGAUACCUUAGAAAGAUCUGCCAGUGGCAGUUUCCCCUCAAAAAGACUCCUUGUUAACAUUGCCUUGGGAUCAUGGUCAUAAGAUCAAGAACAGUUUGGAGUAUUUUACUGAAUGAAAUGCUGAGGCAUCUGUCUCUCUUCAGGGCACAUUCCCAUGAUGUACCACAGCCAGUUUUGCCGUUGGCAUGACAAGUUUCUCCCCGGAUAGUAACUAUGACAACAGGAUUUCACUGUGUUUUCUUCAGUGGGAAGAACCCUUUUAUUACCGUGCAAUUUGUUAGACUAAUAAAGCCCUGAAAUGCAUCA
rnacentral:lncRNA from 1 species